rnacentral:rRNA from 1 species
AGUGAACGCUGGCGGUAGGCCUAACACAUGCAAGUCGAACGGCAGCACAGUAAGAGCUUGCUCUUACGGGUGGCGAGUGGCGGACGGGUGAGGAAUACAUCGGAAUCUACUUUUUCGUGGGGGAUAACGUAGGGAAACUUACGCUAAUACCGCAUACGACCUACGGGUGAAAGCAGGGGAUCUUCGGACCUUGCGCGAUUGAAUGAGCCGAUGUCGGAUUAGCUAGUUGGCGGGGUAAAGGCCCACCAAGGCGACGAUCCGUAGCUGGUCUGAGAGGAUGAUCAGCCAAACUGGAAAUGAGACACGGUCCAGACUCCUACGGGAGGCAGGAGUGGGGAAUAUUGGACAAUGGGCGCAAGCCUGAUCCAGCCAUACCGCGUGGGUGAAGAAGGCCUUCGGGUUGUAAAGCCCUUUUGUUGGGAAAGAAAAGCAGCAGGUUAAUACCCCGCUGUUCUGACGGUACCCAAAGAAUAAGCACCGGCUAACUUCGUG